GACGAACGCUGGCGGCGUGCUUAACACAUGCCAGUCGAACGAAAAGAGGGAAAGAGCUUGCUCUUUCCGGAAUUGAGUGGCAAACGGGUGAGUAACACGUAAACAACCUGCCUUCAGGAUGGGGACAACAGACGGAAACGACUGCUAAUACCGAAUAAGUUCCAAGAGCCGCAUGGCCCAUGGAAGAAAAGGUGGCCUCUACCUGUCAGCUAUCGCCUGAAGAUGGGUUUGCGUCUGAUUAGCUGGUUGGAGGGUUAACGGCCCACCAAGGCGACGACCAGUAGCCGGUCUGAGAGGAUGAACGGCCACACUGGAACUGAGACACGGUCCAGACUCCUGCGGGAGGGAGCAGUGGGGAAGCUUCCGCAAUGGGCGAGAGCCUGAAGGAGCAACGCCGCGUGAGUGAUGACGGCCUUCGGGUUGUAAAACUCUGUGAUCCGGGACGAAAAGGCAGAGUGCGAAGAACAAACUGCAUUGACGGUACCGGAAAAGCAAGCCACGGCUAACUACGUG
rnacentral:rRNA from 1 species